rnacentral:rRNA from 1 species
GAUGAACGCUAGCUACAGGCUUAACACAUGCAAGUCGCGGGGCAGCAUGGGGGUUGCUUGCAAUCCCCGAUGGCGACCGGCGCACGGGUGAGUAACGCGUAUCCAACCUGCCCUUCACCACGGGAUAACCCGGCGAAAGUCGGACUAAUACCGUAUGUUGUCCAUUGACGGCAUCCGAUUUGGACGAAAGGUUUGGCGGUGAAGGAGGGGGAUGCGUCCGAUUGGCUGGACGGCGGGGUGACGGCCCACCGCGGCGACGAUCGGUAGGGGUUCUGAGAGGAAGGUCCCCCACACUGGAACUGGGACACGGUCCAGACUCCUACGGGAGGCAGCAGUGAGGAAUAUUGGUCAAUGGGCGUAAGCCUGAACCAGCCAAGUAGCGUGCAGGAUGACGGCCCUAUGGGUUGUAAACUGCUUUUAUGCGGGGAUAAAGUGGCCCACAUGUGGGUUUUUGCAGGUACCGCAUGAAUAAGGACCGGCUAAUUCCGUG